AUUGAACGCUGGCGGAAUGCUUUACACAUGCAAGUCGAACGGCAGCACGGACUUCGGUCUGGUGGCGAGUGGCGAACGGGUGAGUAAUACAUCGGAACGUGCCCAGUCGUGGGGGAUAACGUAGCGAAAGCUACGCUAAUACCGCAUACGAUCUAAGGAUGAAAGCGGGGGAUCGCAAGACCUCGCGCGAUUGGAGCGGCCGAUGGCAGAUUAGGUAGUUGGUAGGGUAAAGGCCUACCAAGCCGACGAUCUGUAGCUGGUCUGGGUGGAGGAUCAGCCACACUGGGACUGAGACACGGCCCAGACUCCUACGGGAGGCAGCAGUGGGGAAUUUUGGACAAUGGGCGCAAGCCUGAUCCAGCCAUUCCGCGUGCAGGAUGAAGGCCUUCGGGUUGUAAACUGCUUUUGUACAGAACGAAAAGGCUCUGGUUAAUACCCGGGGCUCAUGACGGUACUGUAAGAAUAAGCACCGGCUAACUACGUGCCAGCAGCCGCCGUAA
rnacentral:rRNA from 1 species